AGCAGCCGCGGUAAUUCCAGCUCCAAUAGCGUAUAUUAAAGUUGUUGCAGUUAAAAAGCUCGUAGUUGAAUUUCGGGGUUAGUAGGCUGGUCAUGCCACCGGUAUGUACUGGUCUUUCUGAUUCCUCCUUCCUGAUGAACUGUAAUGCCAUUAAUUUGGUGUUGCAGGGAAUCUGGACUGUUACUUUGAAAAAAUUAGAGUGUUUAAAGCAGGCUAACGCUUGAAUACAUUAGCAUGGAAUAAUGAAAUAGGACGCUCGAUCCUAUUUUGUUGGUUUCUAGGAUUGACGUAAUGAUUAAUAGGGAUAGUUGGGGGCAUUAGUAUUCAAUUGUCAGAGGUGAAAUUCUUGGAUUUAUUGAAGACUAACUACUGCGAAAGCAUUUGCCAAGGAUGUUUUCAAUAAUCAAGAACGAAAGUUAGGGGAUCGAAGACGAUCAGAUACCGUCGUAGUCUUAACCAUAAACUAUGCCGACUAGGGAUCGGAUGAUGUUAAUUUUUUAAUGACUC
rnacentral:rRNA from 1 species